rnacentral:lncRNA from 1 species
CCAACCCCUUCAAUCUUUAUCAUUGUCUGUCUCUCUCUAGCAAGAAACCCUAGCCGUCUAGGACUUCCACGCCACCUCCGCCGUAAACCACCCACCGAAAAUUGCCUCACGACGGUUCCAGCGUGCUAAAUAACCCCAAAUCAACACCACAACCCCCCCCCCACAGCCACCUCGUCCCAAAUCUGCAACACUUUUCCUUCGAAUCACUGCCGAAACUCCUCGAAUCUCAAAUCGAAAUUUCGAUACCAAAAUCCUAACUACUCCAACCCGCCCCAAUAACAACUUGUAGUCCUUGCCCCUACCUGAACCUCAAACCAGCCUUAGCCCCCUCGAAUCAACCCCAAUUUGGUCGAAUUUUAAAUUUCAAAUUCCGAAAAAAUUUCUUCGCUUGGUCAGUGUUUGGAACCUAUGAACCCAGACAUCCAUUAGCUGGUUGUUUUUGUUAAGAACAGCUAGUUAAUGGCUGUAUAAGUUACCGCCUCGUUCAAGAAUUUUCUUCAACUGACCCGGUGCAAAAUAGCAUUAGGUAACUUCUGUUAAUUUUAUUUUUAGUUUCUUUUCCAUUAUUAGUUGCUUUCUUUCCAUGUUUAAAGGUUCUUGAUUAACAGCAUGUUUUAGGGAUAAUUUUAGAUUUUUUCUUUUCCUUUAUUCACGACUGCUUGUUUGAUUGUCCAUUCCAGAAAAUUAAUUGAAGCAUGUUUACAUUUCAGCACUCAAUUGCAUGAUUUAGUUUUAGGCUUCUAUUUGUUUAAAUCAAAAAUUUAUCAUGAAAUUAGUGCAUUUUAGGCUUUUGUUUUAGGGUUCAGAUGCUUAGAAUUCACGGUGUAAUUUUGCUUGUUUGAUUUGUCUGUUGAUUAGCAUGUUUGUUUGUGUUGACCCUAGAUUAUAAAUCAAUAGAUACUUAGAGGGGUCAAAUGAACAAAAAAACUUAAUGGGUCAUAACAGGGGGUGGUAAUCCUGAAAUAGGAUAAGGUCUAUGCUGAAAAUGUUCUAGAAUAGAGGCAGCUAGUCUCAUUUGGUCAGUACAAAGUAUUGAAACCAAUGAGGGGCAGCCAACUGUCCAUUUCUGUUAAGAAUAUUCCUUUUGUGGCUGAAGGAAUAAUUCGUUUAUUCGUAUACCAUAUGGCAUUCUAUAUGCCUAUAUAUAGUACCUCUCACUCACUCUGAAGAAGACAAUCCUUUUAGCAAUCAUCAGCACUUUUUAGCAUCAUUUUACUGCACCAAUGCUCCCUUUUCUUUUCUGAAAAAGAUUAGAUUCCAAAAAAACUUGACAAAAACUUCAAAAAUUAUUUUCUGAUUCUUUACAUGCUAGAGGAUAAUGGUUUGAAGUUGGGAGUAUCCUUCUUAGGUGUUUUGUUUGGGAUUCCUAGGUUCAAGUUUUUUGGUUUUUGGGUCUGAAAUUUUAAUUUAGAUGUGGACUGUUGUAGUUGUGUUUUUUGUUGCUACUUAAUUCCUGUUGUUGUUCCUUGUUCUUUACAAGUGUUUUCAACCAAUACUAUCCUAUUUUAGCACUCGCUAGUUGUUAUUGUUGUUUGUUCAAGGUAUUUGAACUCAACUUUUCUUCAUGUAAUGAGCUUUUGUUAAAAUGGUAUAGGGAUCAAAAGUUGCAAGUUACCUGUGAUGAAUGAUUGUUCUUUUCAUGUUAGUAUUCUGACUGCAAUGAUGUGUAUCCCAGUUAUUUGAUACAAUGUGAGCUCAAAGCUUGAAUCAAUGUGGUGUAAACAAGUGAGGUAAUAUAUGUUUGUUUAUCAGUCAUCAUUCUAAAAAAUGACCAUAUUUAAAAAUUCUAUAUCUAAAUACUCUAUUUGAAUAAUGAUGAUUCUGGUUCUUAGAGUCAUGUUUUCCCCUUCAUUUUCUUCUAUUUAAAUGCAUAACUUGUUUACUUGAUGUCACCUGAUGUUGGUUUGCAAAUUAUGAGCUGUAAUAGGUGAAUUUGGCCAAAUCAACAUGUUAAAUGGCUGACAAUUGAAAGUUUGUUGUUGGUAGAUAUUGUGUUAGACUCAUUUCUGCUCUUGUUCUCUUUCUGAUUGACGCUUUUUUUUUAUUUUGACGUCAUUGGUCUCUAUUUGCAAUCUACUAGCCAAUUUCUACAGAUUUGAGUCACUGGUUGACCAAAUCAAUAGGUUCCAAGGUCAUAAGUCUAAAAUUUCUAUUGUUUGAACUUGCUGAAAUUUAGUUUGUUUAUGCGAGGGACCCGGCUUUGAUGGAUAAACAAUGUCCAAUGGAGACAGGUUAUCUAUUGGUUCAUCAAUGAAACGAGAAUUAUAGCAUAUUAGUAAUUAGAAUAGUAUUAUAUGUACUUAAUAGUAUAUCAUGUAAUAUUCAUAGAUUUUCCCUUAGAAAAUUUGAUUCUGUAUGAAGUGUUGUAAUAAGUAAGAUUUUCAGUUUUGUAUGAAUUAUUAAUAAGAGUAUUCAUAAUUGUGGUGGUAGAAUGGGCUGGGGUUGAGAGCCCCAAUCUGUAAGGGUAAAAGGGGCUAUCCUUGGAUCAAGUGGGGCUGAACUUGAAGCCCAAUUGAAUAUCGACCCAUAAAAGGAAUCUGAACCUAGGCCUUUGGGCUUGGGACCUAAGCCUAAAAUCCAAGCUUCUCUUUUCCAUGAUACAAGUGUAUGCUUCUUUUAUUUUUGUGAAUCAUUGAUUAACUUUCGAGAUUAGAAAUGUAUUUUUUUUUUUCUUUAAAUGUCCUGAAUUCUUUACUUAAGCAAUAAAUCGAAAUGCUUUGGUUAUAAA